rnacentral:rRNA from 1 species
AUUGAACGCUGGCGGCAUGCCUUACACAUGCAAGUCGAACGGCAGCACGGGAGCAAUCCUGGUGGCGAGUGGCGAACGGGUGAGUAAUACAUCGGAACGUGCCCAGUAGUGGGGGAUAACCCGGCGAAAGCCGGACUAAUACCGCAUACGACCUACGGGUGAAAGCAGGGGAUCGCAAGACCUUGCGCUAUUGGAGCGGCCGAUGUCAGAUUAGCUUGNGGUGGGGUAAAAGCCUACCAAGGCAACGAUCUGUAGCUGGUCUGAGAGGACGACCAGCCACACUGGGACUGAGACACGGCCCAGACUCCUACGGAGGCAGCAGUGGGGAAUUUUGGACAAUGGGCGCAAGCCUGAUCCAGCCAUGCCGCGUGCGGGAAGAAGGCC